rnacentral:rRNA from 1 species
CCUACGGGGUGCAGCAGUGAGGAAUAUUGGUCAAUGGACGAGAGUCUGAACCAGCCAAGUAGCGUGAAGGAUGACUGCCCUAUGGGUUGUAAACUUCUUUUAUAAAGGAAUAAAACGAGGCACGUGUGCCUUUUUGCAUGUACUUUAUGAAUAAGGAUCGGCUAACUCCGUGCCAGCAGCCGCGGUAAUACGGAGGAUCCGAGCGUUAUCCGGAUUGAUUGGGUGUAAAGGGAGCGUAGAUGGGUUGUUAAGUCAGUUGUGAAAGUUUGCGGCGCAACCGUAAAAUUGAAAUUGAUACUGGCAGUCUUGAGUACAGUUGAGGUAGGCGGAAUUCGUGGUGUAGCGGUGAAAUGCUUAGAUAUCACGAAGAACCCCGAUUGCGAAGGCAGCUUACUAAACUGUGACUGACAUUGAUGCUCGAAAGUGUGGGUAUCAAACAGGAUUAGAUACCCCAGUAGUC